rnacentral:lncRNA from 1 species
ACCCUUUGGUGAACAUGCACAGUAGCCUUCAGAGCCCGCCUGCCGGCGACAGCCAGGUGUUUGAUGUAGGCCAACAGAAAGACAUGGUCAGAGCCACAGGCAGCAUCGGGAGGACCUCUGCCCUCACCUCCUCCCCUCACACCCUGAAGUCAAACAUGUGGAAAGUCGUAUGUCCAUGGGGACAGAUUCUGGGGAAGCCGGACGGCCCUGCUCUGAAAGCCACUGUCAGUCAGCCUUCCCCAUUG